rnacentral:tRNA from 1 species
GGGGGUUUAGCUCAGCGGCAUAAGCGCCUGCCUUGCAAGCAGGUGGUCGUGAGUUCGAUCCCCA